GUCAGGUGUGGUGGUGCAUGCCUGUAGUCCCAGCUACUCAGGAGGCUGAGGCAGGAGGGUCGCUUGAGCCCAGAAGGUCAAGGCUACAGUGAGCUAUGAUUGCACCACUGCACUCUAGUCUGGGCAACAAAGUAACACUCUGUCUCAA
rfam:Homo sapiens chromosome 20, GRCh38 reference primary assembly.